rnacentral:tRNA from 1 species
GGGAGUGUAGCCCAAUUGGCAGAGGCGCAAGAUUUAGGUUCUUGUUGUUGUAGGUUCGAGUCCUAUCACUCUCA